rnacentral:misc_RNA from 1 species
CCCACCGCAAGUCUCUUCUCGUUGACCUCCUCUCCAGAGACGCCGCCGUUUUCCUAGAGAGAUAUGGAGCGAAAUUGACAUGGGAAGAGCUUGAGGAAUUCGAUAUGCUAGACAAUGACUACGAGAUAAAUUGGCACCUCAAGAAUCUGAGAAGCAAAGUGAGUCCAACUUCUGAGGAGUUGAAAUCAAGGUCGGUGAAGGUCAAGAACAGGAGGCUUGCUUACUUGAAUAAAUUGAUACAUGACGGCACCUACUUCUCUGAGGAUGCUAUGAGGGAGAGAGAGCCAUAUUUGCAUCACGAGUUUGUGGGUAAGUUUCAGGAUCAGAGUGCCAGAGGCAUGGCGAGGCCGGGGGAGCGGUGGUCUGAGACGUUGAUGAGGAGGUCUGAGGAGGCUAUUUUGGUUUCUAAGAUUAGGGCAGAGCAGCAGAGGUUGGGUGUGGCUGAGAGGGAUUGGGUUGGUAAAGAAAUGAACCAACAAGAAGAGGAAGAGGAAGAGGAAGAGGAAGA